GACGAACGCUGGCGGUGUGCUUAACACAUGCAAGUCGAACGGUAAGGCCCUUUCGGGGGUACACGAGUGGCGAACGGGUGAGUAACACGUGAGUAACCUGCCCUCAUCUCUGGGAUAACAGUCGGAAACGGUUGCUAAUACUGGAUAUGAGCUUGCAAGGCAUCUUGUGGGUUGGAAAGAUUUUUUUUGGUUGGGGAUGGACUCGCGGCCUAUCAGCUUGUUGGUGAGGUAGUGGCGCACCAAGGCUUCGACGGGUAGCCGGCCUGAGAGGGCGACCGGCCACAUUGGGACUGAGAUACGGCCCAAACUCCUACGGGAGGCAGCAGGGGGGAAUAUUGCACAAUGGACGGAAGUCUGAUGCAGCAACGCCGCGUGCGGGAUGACGGCCUUCGGGUUGUAAACCGCUUUCAAUUGUGACGAAGCUUUUUUGUGACGGUAGCAGUAGAAGAAGCACCGGCUAACUACGUG
rnacentral:rRNA from 1 species